UACGGAGGGGGCGAGCGUUAUUCGGAAUUAUUGGGCGUAAAGGGCGCGUAGGCGGCGCGAUAAGUCAAAGGCGAAAUCCCUCGGCUCAACUGAGGAACUGCCUUUGAGACUGUCGUGCUCGAGGCCGGGAGGGGGUAGCGGAAUUCCCAGUGUAGCGGUGAAAUGCGUAGAUAUUGGGAGGAACACCAGUGGCGAAGGCGGCUACCUGGACCGGUUCUGACGCUGAUGCGCGAAAGCGUGGGGAGCGAACAGG
rnacentral:rRNA from 1 species